rnacentral:rRNA from 1 species
GACGAACGCUGGCGGCGUGCCUAAUACAUGCAAGUCGAGCGGGCCUCCGGAGGUGCUUGCACCUCCGGACGGCCAGCGGCGGACGGGUGAGUAACACGUGGGCAACCUGCCUUUGAGGCCGGGAUAACACCGGGAAACCGGUGCUAAUACCGGAUACGUCCUCUUUCGCGCCUGCGAGAGGGGAGAAAGACGGUCUUUAAGGCCGUCGCUCAAAGAGGGGCCCGCGGCGCAUUAGCUGGUUGGUGGGGCAAGGGCCUACCAAGGCGACGAUGCGGUGCCGACCUGAGAGGGUGAUCGGCCACACUGGGACUGAGACACGGCCCAGACUCCUGCGGGAGGCAGCAGUAGGGAAUCAUCCGCAAUGGGCGAAAGCCUGACGGUGCAACGCCGCGUGAGUGAGGAAGGUUUUCGGAUCGUAAAGCUCUGUUGUGAGGGAAGAACAGCAUCCGGAGGAAAUGCCGGAGGUUUGCCGGUACCUCACCAGAAAGCCCCGGCUAACUACGUGCCAGCCGCCGCAGUAAAAC